GAUCCUGGCUCAGAUUGAACGUUGGCGGCAUGCUCUACACAUGCAAGUCGAACGGCAGCACAGGGAGCUUGCUCCCGGGUGGCGAGUGGCGCACGGGUGAGUAAUACAUCGGAACGUGUCCUGUUGUGGGGGAUAACUGCUCGAAAGGGUGGCUAAUACCGCAUGAGACCUGAGGGUGAAAGCGGGGGAUCGCAAGACCUCGCGCAAUUGGAGCGGCCGAUGCCCGAUUAG
rnacentral:rRNA from 1 species